UGAGCAGGGACCAGCUGAGGGCCGAGCUGCAGCCCUGAGAGCCUUUGGGGCCUGUUGUCCCUGUCUUGGGCGGCAGCCUCGAGGGUCCACAGGAGACCCAGAGUAUGAGGUGAGGGUAUCUGGGGUUUCCUGGCAAGGGAAUCCCACUGUCCUGUCCAAGGGAAGCCUGAGGAAGAGAAGGAAGAGCGGUCACAGGAAGGGGGUCGAUGGGUUGUGAGGAUGCACUGUUCCAGCUUUCCCGUGUCAGCUGCUGGGGCCCUUCUUCCCUCCCUGCCAGCGUCAGCGCUUCUCAGGGCUGCUGGGGACUUGCCCCCUGUGGGACCGUGUUCCUGGGGCUUUUGGUGGCUGGAGCGGAGCAGGGUGUGUGGGUUGCAUCCCUUUGAUCCGCUCCUCUGGGAGCUGCAGAGAUUGGGAGGGAGAAGGUGGGGUGUUGCUGAGACUCGCCUGGCACCUGUUGGGAGUGGGAUUUGGGGGCGGGGGUUGGCCAGGAGCUGGCAUUUACUCUUCUGGCCCAUUUUUAUGGACAGCCAUAAUAACUCUGUGGCUUCUUUCAUCCAAAGAUCUCAGGCCAGUUUGAAAGCGAAUCCGCGGUAUAGAGCGUGGUUAAUUACAACCUGGAGCCUACAGUCCUUAGCAGGAAGCCAGUGAGGUCAACCCUGCACCAGCCCAGUAAACGCCGGUGGCUGAACCCAAUCAAACAGGGAGUUUGGGAAGUUCACUCUGUGGUUCAGUUAAGUGGUACCUGAAUCAAGGGGACGCAGAGGCUGAGGUACCAGCUUCCUUCUCCCAGUGGGUCUGGCUGUGCGUCUCCCACAAACCACAGGUUCUCUAAGCGCAUCGUGGAGAGCAGGGUCAGCUCUGGAAUUCUCCAUAAAAGCUGGGUGGGGGGAGUUAGGGACUGAGUGACUCUGAGCAGGAGGCCCAGGACUCUUCCAGACGGGAGCUGUCAGCCAGCACAGCCACGCUGGAAGAGCUGGCCCAUAGGCGAGAAGGAAGGGGGCCCUAGGAUGCGGAAGGCAGAGCUUGGCACAAGAGAACCGGAGAGGCAGAGCAUCCUUCCUCUUGGGCCUCACUCCAUCCUGUGAUGGUCCAGGCUUCCGGGCGGAAGAGCACAGAGGACUUCCUUCCAUGAGUGCCUCUCCACCCUUCCUCUGAGAGGUGGCCCUGCAGUCUUCAACACGGAGAAAGUCAGGGGGCUGAGGGCGAGCGAAAGGCCAUUUCCUUUGCCCGGCCUGUCACCUGCUCCAGGAGAGGUAGGUGGCUCUCCUCACAGUCCUGGAGACGCCUGCCCGGACUCUGGCCCAGGUGGCCUUCCUGAUGCGCCGGCUGAGAGUGCUGGGACCUGUCAGAGCAGCUGACACCUGCUUAUUCAGUCACCCUGAGAAAAACCUAGAAUCACCUUCAGAUACGGAUUGCACGGUGGAGGAAUUAAAGGAAAGGAGGCCAUUAACUUCAGAUGUCCGGUGGCCAGAGUUCCCAAACAGAGAAGAACCGUGCCAGGGGCUUGGCCAGGACUGCCCUCAGGACAAGCACGCUGUGUCACAAAUGAGGAGUCCACCACACCAAAGAAUUACGGAGUCUACGACAUGCGCAGUGGGAAUGAUGAAAAGCCCUGAGACAGCCCCAUCCAGGACAGCAGGGAAGAUGGGCAGCUGUGAGGACCGUCGCUGAGGCGGCCGGAGCUCUCUCUGGAGGCCUGAUACCUCCACCCCCCAUCCCAGGAGGGGCUGCAUGGUGGGCGCCCUGGGAGCCCACGGGGCUGCUCUCGGGCAUCCUGUCGAGAUACCCACUGCACUGGGCGAGGCCUGUGCGCCACAGCCAACCCUCCUGAGUAAUUUCAGAGAGAAGCUUAUAAAGCAUUUUAACAGGCCGGCAAAUUACAACUUCAGAAGCACAUAAACGCUUCCAUAAACGCCAGCCUUGCAAACCAAGUGUGUGUGGGAGAAGAGUGGGCAGGCUGCUCGGGCCUCGGGAAAACCCACGGUGGGAGGCGGAAGCACUGAAGCCACCUUUGCUCCUCGAUUCUGAGGUUCCUCUCUCGUGGCUUGCUUAACUCUCUGGCAGUGUUUCAUUUGUUCUCCUUGUCCCUUCCCUGUCCAGAGAGUCUGCACUGACCAUCUCUGUACCCUGUUCAGGGACUGGGGGGCGCAAGUGGGCUGUCCCGAGGUCCUGAUUCUACCUUGCUAGGUUCAGAGACCUGGGGGCCACAAAGAAAAUGCCUUCCAAAUCAGCCCCACUUGAGGCCUCACACCCAUGAUCCCUUGCCCAGCACAGCCAUGAACCAUCAUCAGAGACUGUCCUCCUAGCCUAAACAACACCUCUACAGCACCUGAUGCUUUUCAAAAACACUUUCAUUGUUCUUCUUUUUUCCCCCUUUGGUGAGGAAGACUGGCCCUGAGCUAACAUCUGUUGCCAAUCUUCCU